rnacentral:rRNA from 1 species
UAAGGAAUAUUGCUCAAUGGGAGAAAUCCUGAAGCAGCAACGCCGCGUGGAGGAUGAAGGGUCUAUGACUUGUAAACUCCUGUAAAGAAGGAAAAAAUUCCCAUUAGAUGGGAGAUGAUGGUACUUCUGGAGUAAGCCCCGGCUAACUACGUGCCAGCAGCCGCGGUAAUACGUAGGGGGCAAGCGUUGUCCGGAUUUACUGGGUGUAAAGGGUGCUCAGGCGGAUUUGUAAGUCAGAGGUGAAAUCUUACAGCUUUACUGUGAAACUGCCUUUGAUACUGCAAGCCUAGAGUAUGGAAGAGAGUGAUGGAAUAUCUGGUGUAGCAGUGAAAUGCGUAGAUAUCAGAUAGAACACCAAUGGCGAAGGCAGUCACUUGGUCCAUUACUGACGCUAAAGCACGAAAGCGUGGGUAGCAAACA